GCUGUAUAGAUGACGCUAAGAUCGAAUUUUACAAAUAUUUAAUUUAUUAAUUUAUUAAAAUACAAGUUUGUCAAACGUUUAUUUUGAUAGUUCUUCGGUCUGGUGAUAAAUAAAAGAAUAGUUAGGCGAGGUAGAUCAGCACCCCUCGGUGGUGGCUGUAAGACUGAAGGAGUUUCACUUUGCACGAUGGUUGACAAUGGUGCCCAAUCAGCCAUGACGUUCCCCUUCGCCGCCGCGGGCAGCUACCUUUACUGCACUGUUUUCAAAAGACAUCACUUGUGUUAUAAAAUUUAAAAAUAUAAAAAGAAAACAUUAUCACUGAACGAAGAUGCAGACCGCCUGUGUUUAAACUAAUGCUAAUUACUGAUAAACAAGUAUUGCCUAUUUCAAAGAUUAAACUGUUGUUUGAUGAUUUGACUAGGAAGCCUGGCAGUGUUUCUCAGUAGUGAGAAUUAUUAUUGAGAAUUAUUAUACGUCGCAUUUGUAUUUAAAAAUUAAAAGCUUGUUGCAUUUGAAUUUUUCAUCACGCUUCGAUCAUUUUUAUAAUGAACAAAAUUCACUUCUUCUAGAAAACGAUUUCAUGUUUUAUUGGAAAUGAAGAAAUGAAAUAAGAGAAUUCGAAAUGAUACGAAGAAUAGCAUACAGGAAUUGUAUAUGUCACACUUUGUAAUUAUUUCAUACAAAAAAGAAUACAGUGAAACGGAUAGAAUAAAUAAUAUUUAACAAUGGUCGACGAUAUAACAAUUCGAAACUUCACAAAAUUUCAGCUUUCUUUUUUUCCUUCUUCUUCUCUAAGUCGUAAUGACGAAAAGGCACAGCAGUACACAUAUUUCACAAAUUAUGUAACUUCACAUGUUAAUGAUUUUAUUAACUUAUUUUUCACAUACAAUAGUAUUAUGCGUGAA